rnacentral:lncRNA from 1 species
GUGAAGCCAUGCUGGUUGUCCUGUAUCACCUCCCUGUUUUCGAUGUGCCUCAGCAUAGCCUCCUGGAGGAUCUACUCCAUGAUCUUCCCUAGCACAAAGGUGAAGCUGACAGAAUGUUCUUUAAGGCACUGAACCUUUUCUUAUGCAAUUGGGAAGAGAUGAGUCUGUGGCCAUGACCAGCGUAAUUUAAAGAGUUCAGAGUGAAGUCAUGUGAGGCUGUGUCAGAGCCGACCAGAAUCGUGUUCCUAUAGCAUGAAACCAAACAUUCAUAUUACUCGCAUUCUGCUUGAGGGAGGAAGGCCUGCAGGGAUUCAAGAAGACUGGAUAGGAAGAACAGAGACAAAUAAACCUGCUGUGUGUUUAUGUAAUAAACCUUUAACUGUAU